AACGAACGCUGGCGGCAGGCUUAACACAUGCAAGUCGAGCGCGUGGCAACACGAGCGGCAGACGGGUGAGUAACACGUGGGAACGUACCCUUUUCUACGGAAUAACGCAGGGAAACUUGUGCUAAUACCGUAUACGCCCUUUUGGGGAAAGAUUUAUCGGAGAAGGAUCGGCCCGCGUUGGAUUAGCUGGUUGGUGGGGUAAUGGCCUACCAAGGCGACGAUCCAUAGCUGGUCUGAGAGGAUGAUCAGCCACAUUGGGACUGAGACACGGCCCAAACUCCUACGGGAGGCAGCAGUGGGGAAUAUUGGACAAUGGGCGCAAGCCUGAUCCAGCCAUGCCGCGUGAGUGAUGAAGGCCUUAGGGUUGUAAAGCUCUUUCACCGGAGAAGAUAAUGACGGUAUCCGGAGAAGGAGCCCCGGCUAACUUCGUGCCAGCAGCCGCCGUAAAAC
rnacentral:rRNA from 1 species